AUUGAACGCUGGCGGCAUGCCUUACACAUGCAAGUCGAACGGCAGCACGGGUGCUUGCACCUGGUGGCGAGUGGCGAACGGGUGAGUAAUACAUCGGAACGUACCUUAUCGUGGGGGAUAACGCAGCGAAAGUUGCGCUAAUACCGCAUACGCCCUGAGGGGGAAAGCGGGGGACCGUAAGGCCUCGCGCGAUUAGAGCGGCCGAUGUCUGAUUAGCUUGUUGGUGAGGUAAAAGCUCACCAAGGCGAUGAUCAGUAGCUGGUCUGAGAGGACGAUCAGCCACACUGGGACUGAGACACGGCCCAGACUCCUACGGGAGGCAGCAGUGGGGAAUUUUGGACAAUGGGGGCAACCCUGAUCCAGCAAUGCCGCGUGAGUGAAGAAGGCCUUCGGGUUGUAAAGCUCUUUUGUCAGGGAAGAAGCAGCAGCUCUAACACAGUCUGCGAAUGACGGUACCUGAAGAAUAAGCACCGGCUAACUACGUGCCAGCAGCCGCAGUAA
rnacentral:rRNA from 1 species